AUCUCACUCCGCCUUGACAGGCGGGCCCCGAACUGAACAUCACCCGAGUGUUGAAGAACAAGCUACGAGGAGAUUUUGAAUUCAAGUUGAUAUUCCAGCAAGGCUGUCCCUAGGCGAUAAAAUCCGACGCUUGCUUGAGCAGGGCAAGAAGGGUUUGACUUCGAAUUGCAUCACGGACUUUUUCAAUGCUUCUGGAAUUGACUAAUCGUGCAGCUAAUUUUCGGUCUCUCGCCCUCUCGCACGUAACUUCAUGCCCGGUGCACGCCCGACCAGCCAUCGACACAACCAACAACGUCCGGAGUCACUAUCAUGAUUAGAAAUUGUAUAACUACGUUGAUCAACCUCAAGUAGGUCUGUGGCAACAAGAAUAACGGAAGUCUCAUUAAGCGCUUCCUUCGGCCCGUAUGGCGCGAUCAAACACCAUGGGCCUUUGAGAAGGGUUUUUAAAUAGAGGAGUGUAUUAUAUCACGAGAGAGGCUUCGAGGUUUCUCUAUAAAAAUUUAGCCAUACAAGGGGAACGACUCUGGACAAGGUUAGGUCAGUGCACUACCGAUGCUGGGGUAUAAUAUCCGAAUGCCAGAAUCCAAAAUCUGAUGGUUUCCGGCUUCUUCCUUUUGCGGUAUAAACACCGACAGAUGACGUUCAGCUCUCCGUUCAAUUCAUUCCAUUGUAUUCCAGUUCUCCUUCAACUGAUGGUCUGUGGAAUCAGCAUUGGAAGUGGAGAUAGACUAAAAUUGCUACAUUCUAUUGUAUUUACGGAGUCUUUUUUUUUUUUUUUUUUUUUUUCCAAAACCACUAUUUUGUAUAGAGAAUCAAAGAGAGAGAAAAGUGUAAUCGAAAUAGAACAUAGUGACUAUAGAUAAUUGUCGAAUCCUACCACCAAACUAC
rnacentral:sRNA from 1 species